rnacentral:rRNA from 1 species
UACGAAGGGGGCUAGCGUUGCUCGGAAUCACUGGGCGUAAAGCGCACGUAGGCGGAUUGUUAAGUCAGGGGUGAAAUCCUGGAGCUCAACUCCAGAACUGCCUUUGAUACUGGCGAUCUCGAGUCCGGGAGAGGUGAGUGGAACUGCGAGUGUAGAGGUGAAAAUUCGUAGAUAUUCGCAAGAACACCAGUGGCGAAGGCGGCUCACUGGCCCGGUACUGACGCUGAGGUGCGAAAGCGUGGGGAGCAACAGG